UGUCAAUCAAACUUUAUUAGUACAAAAGCUGCAACAACCAGUAAACCAAUAAACACAAUAUAUAUAUAUAUAAUAUAAUAAAUUAACAAAUUCAUAUUUUAUGUUAAUGAGACAAACAUUUGUAUUCUUGUUUGAUUGUACAAUGUGGCCAAAAGUAUGUGGACGUCUCUGUUUGUCCUGGUUUUGGCUUCUUCGUUCCACUGAGGGAAAUAAUGAUAUAAUUGAAUAUCCAGUGAUAUUGUGAACACCUGACCGUGUGUGUGUGUGUAUGUGUGUGUUCAGGACGACAGGUGGGACGCGGAGCUGCGGAGAGAGAUACUGAGACAACAUGAAGACCGACUGAAGGAGGCGCUGGAGGCCGACGACGCGUCACUGGGCCUGAGACACAAACUGCAGCAGCUGCACUCACUGACGUAGUCGUCAUACAACAACCAAUCACAGCGCUCGCAUCACAUCAUCACCACAGACGAGUCGACGCCGUCUGCAGCUGAACCGUCGCACGGCGACUGGAUGUGAGACACGUAAUAAAUAACAAUCAUCUGAGGAACUAAACUAACGAGACGUUCGACUAACAGACCUGAUGAGCAGAGCAAAGAGAAACUGAUUGUGAAUAAUAAAUAGUCUGAAAAAACGGAA